rnacentral:rRNA from 1 species
AGUGGGGAAUAUUGGGCAAUGGGCGCAAGCCUGACCCAGCAACGCCGCGUGAAGGAAGAAGGCCCUCGGGUUGUAAACUUCUUUUAUUUAGGACGAAACAAAUGACGGUACUAAAUGAAUAAGCCACGGCUAACUACGUGCCAGCAGCCGCGGUAAUACGUAGGUGGCAAGCGUUAUCCGGAUUUACUGGGUGUAAAGGGCGUGUAGGCGGGACUGCAAGUCAGAUGUGAAAUUCCAGGGCUCAACCCUGGACCUGCAUUUGAAACUGUAGUUCUUGAGUGAUGGAGAGGCAGGCGGAAUUCCGAGUGUAGCGGUGAAAUGCGUAGAUAUUCGGAGGAACACCAGUGGCGAAGGCGGCCUGCUGGACAUUAACUGACGCUGAGGCGCGAAAGCGUGGGGAGCAAA